GCAGCCACCGGGGGCGUGGCUUCCGGCGGCUGGAGCUUGGGAGUCGGGGUGGCAGGGUCGAGGCGAGGCCGCGGCUGACAGGGGCUCCUCCCCCGACGGCGGCGGCUGGUGCCCAGGCGGACGGGCGGCCCCCAGCUCGGGGCCGCGAGAGGCGCCAGGGCCGCACCGGGGAAUGGACGAGGGGAAGAUGGACGAGAAUGAAUGGGGCUACCACGGUGAAGGCAACAAGAGCCUGGUGGUGGCCCACGCGCAGCGUUGUGUGGUGCUGCGUUUCCUGAAGUUCCCUCCAAGCAGGAAGAAGACGUCAGAAGAGAUCUUUGAGCACCUGCAGAACAUAGUGGACUUCAGCAAGAACGUCAUGAGAGAGUUUUUGGGGGAGAGCUAUGUCCAUUGUGGGGAAGUGGUGCAGCUGCCAUUAGAUUUCGUGAAGCAGCUCUGUGUGAAGAUCCAGUCCGAGAGACCAGAAUCUCGCUGUGACAAGGACCUGGACACUCUGAGUGGCUACGCCCUGUGCCUUCCCAACCUAGCCCGACUUCAGACCUACUGUUUUGCAGAGCACCGGCCUAUUCUGUGUGUGGAGAUCAAGCCAAAAUGUGGGUUUAUUCCUUUCUCAAGUGAUGUUAUGCACGAGGUGAAGCACAAAGUGUGCCGUUACUGCAUGCACCAGCGCCUCAAGGUGGAAACUGGGAAGUGGAAGCAGAUAAGCAAAUACUGUCCUCUUGAUCUCUACUCAGGAAACAAGCAGAGGAUGCACUUUGCCUUGAAGAGCUUGUUGCAUGAGGCCCAGAACAACUUAAAGAUAUUUAAGAAUGGUGAGCUGAUCUAUGGCUGCACAGAUGCCCGCAGCCCUGUGGCUGACUGGACGGAGCUCGCGCACCACCUGAAGCCCUUUUUCUUCCCUUCUAACGGCCUGGCUGGCGGGUCCCACUGCACAAGGGCUGUGAUCCGGGACCUGGUGCACGUCAUCACCCGGGUGCUGCUGAGCGGCUCCGACAAGGGCCGGGCGGGGACCCUGUGGCGGGGGCCUGGGCUACGGGGUCCCCGUGUCUGUGAAGCCAGCCCUUUCAGCAGGAGCCGCCAAGGAAAAAACAGCCCGGAGUGCUCGGGGUUACCGAAGGGCUGUCUUCUGUACAAAACCCUCCAGGUGCAGAUGUUGGACCUGCUGGACAUCGAAGGCCUCUACCCCCUGUACCGGCGGGUCGAGCGGUACCUGGAGGAGUUCCCUGAGCAGAGAAAAAUGUUGCAAAUAGACGGGCCUUAUGAUGAUGCAUUUUACCAGAAGCUGCUUGAUCUUUCCACUGAGGAUGACGGGACGGUGGCCUUUGCACUGACGAAGGUGCAGCAGUACCGGGUGGCCAUGACUGCGAAGGACUGCUCCAUCAUGAUUGCGCUCUCCCCCUGCCUGCAGGAUGCGAGCUCCGAUCAAAGGCCUGUGGUCCUUUCAUCGAGAUCCAGGUUUGCUUUCUCUGUGUCUGUGCUGGACCUUGACCUCAAGCCCUACGAGAGCAUUCCUCACCAGUACAAACUGGACGGCAAGAUAGCCAACUUCUAUUCAAAGACUGUACACGCCAAAGACACGGCCAUGAUGUCGCCCAGGUUCAAGGAGAGCGAGGACUGCACGUUAGUCCUCCAUAAGGUCUAGGUGCUUCCUUCGGGGUCUCGGAGCCUCGAACACACAAUGCGAGGGUUGGACGAGAGCGCUGUUCUGUUGUGCUGGGAGACCUCUGGCUGUGAACAUGGUUGCUGUUUAGCCCUUGUGCAGGCAGGACUGCGUCUGGGGGACCGGGAAUGGAAGGUCAGCAGACGCACCCUCCGGGAUGAGGAGGCGGGGGCUCGUGUGCCGUGUCCCCACCCCUUCCUCCCCACCUGGGCUCAUGUCUAAUCUCUGAUGUCAAAGCCUUAAGACCCAAGGUUUGGCGCUCCUACCACCACAUGCUAACGUAGAAAACUUGAAUUGUCCCAUACAUCGUAAGUUUGGACUUGGAGGAAAACAUGGAUACUACUGGACCUGUCCCAGCCGAGUUACGUGGUCACUGUUUUCUGUGCGAGCCUCUGGUCAGCACAGAUGUUGUGGGUGCUAUGCUGCCAACAGGCGGGUGGCUGGUGGCUGGUGUGGACGUUGGUCCUGAGCUGUUGUGGACUUGGGGUCUCUGUGGAGGUGCCACGGCCACUGCUCUGCACAGGGUCAUCGGGGAGUGGGACUCAGGUCACGGGCAGACACCACUCACAUGAGCACUGAGUCUCUUUUUAGCUCAAUGAUUUUCUCUUUUACUUCAGUGGAGAUGAGGUGUUCCUGCCCCAGUGUGGUCGCUGCUGCCCAGAGCGGGGGUCAAGGCGACUCCACGCCAGGCGCUCUGGGUGUGCAGGGAGUCCCGCCGGAGCCAGUGUGGCACAUCCCUGCUCCCUCAAGAUGAGUGACUCCUGGCUGGCACCAAGAGGGUUCUCGUUGGGGUCACCGUGGGUGUGCCCGGCUGCUAUGAAAACUGUGGGGAAUCUUGGCUUCGGUUUUUUUUUUCCAUGGUUCAAAAAGGUGCCAAAUGACUUGUGGCUCCUCUGUGUGCACUGGGGGGCAGGCAGCUGGUGAGAUGCCCCCAACAAGGACAUGGGAGGAUGGAAGCAUCCGUGUUGCUGGUGUGUGUGAGUAAUCUAUACCAACAUGGGGCUCACCUCACGACCCCAAGAUCAAGAGUUGCAUGCACCCUCAACCAAGCCUGCCAGGCAUAUGAUCCAUGUCUGGCAUUUUGUUUUCAAAUAG